CUCCAGUCACUCUGAUGUUCCUCCACAGGGCCCAGUUUGGCUUUGCCUUCAUGGACAGCAGCAACCAUCACCUGUCUGCCACGGCAAUAGAUGCCUCUGCUUGCUCCAGAUGUCCUUCUCCUGCAGACCAGAGAACACCUCUUGCUGUACCUCACUUUCUCUGACUGCCUAUGGAUUUCAUUACUGCAGCUUGUUCAGGCUCUGGUGCUCUCCUUCCACCCGUGACGUCCUCAGUUACAUUAUCAUUAACUAGCUGGAUGAAGAAGAGAGAAGAAGGAAAUCACCGGAAGCCAAUGACUGAGUUGUCCCAGGCUGGUACAGAGCAAAGCUGAAGACCACAGUGAGCCACCAAAUUGACCUUUGCCCUUGAGCAGGAGAGCUCUAAGGUUUCAACUGAGAUAUUUUUCAACCCUUCAUCCCUUUAACCUUCAAGCAUUUAUCUUACUUAAUGUGUGCAUUUCAGAGUGUGCUGUAACAACAUAUCAGGUAUCUGGCUUUGAAGUUCUCUAAGGUAAGGUCAGGCCCCCAUUGGGUGUAAAAUAGCAAAUAAAGAAAACGACCCAGCAUCUCACAUGCCCCCCUGCAGCCCGGGCACACUCACAGUACAAGGAUUCAGAAUUACUGGCUGGAGCUUCCAGAUUCCCCAACCCCCAGUGCUCCCAGGCAUACUUACGGGAAUCGAGGAGGACCAGGGGAGGAGCAUGUCCUCUGGGGUGGUGGUCGGUCUCCAGUGCCCUUGGGAGCACGAAGGUUUGAGUAAUUUGGGAUGACUUGCUGGGCUGGGCGGAUAACUCUCAUGCAAGGUCCAGGAACAGGAGGAAGUGGUUGCGAUGUCUGUACAAAAUGUUGGUAAGGAGCUCUGCCGUCUGGGAGGGUGAGAAAAUAAAGGCAGCAACUAUCAUUUCAGCCAACACA